rnacentral:lncRNA from 10 species
AUUUUAUGAUGUGUACCUUGAAUAUACUGAUGAAAAUCAACAUCAAUAUAUUUUGGCUGUGCCUGUGUUAAACCUAAAUCUUCAACAUAAUAAGAUAUUUGUGAACCAAGACAGCAACUCUGGAAAGUGGCUUCUAACUCGGCGCAUUUUCUUAGUGGAUGCAGUAAGUGGACGAGAAAAUGACUUAGGAACUCAGCCAAGAGUAAUUCGAGUUGCUACUCAAAUAUCACUGAGUGUCCACCUUGUACCCAACACAAUAAAUGGAAACAUCUACCCUCCCUUAAUCACCAUUGCCUACAGUGACAUUGAUAUCAAAGAUGCCAACAGCCAGUCUGUGAAGGUUUCUUUCUCAGUCACAUAUGAAAUGGAUCAUGGAGAAGCACAUGUCCAGACAGAUACGGAGUUUUGCACUUGUUGCCCAGGCUGGAGUGCAAUGGCACGAUCUUGGCUCACCGCAACCUCUGCCUCCCGGGUUCAAGCGAUUCUCCUGUCUCAGCCUCCUGAAUAUCUGGGAUUACAGAUUGCUUUGGGUGUAUUGGGUGGGCUAGCUGUUUUAGCAUCUCUUUUGAAGACAGCAGGAUGGAAGAGGCGCAUUGGGAGUCCCAUGAUUGAUUUACAGACAGUUGUGAAAUUCUUGGUGUACUAUGCUGGUGAUCUGGCCAAUGUUUUCUUUAUCAUCACAGUGGGAACAGGUCUUUACUGGCUUAUUUUCUUC